rnacentral:lncRNA from 1 species
CUCAAGCACAUUCAAAUUACCCUUCCUAAUUACUCAAGGAGCACUGACACCACGCUAGUGUUCUGGAUCUGGUUGCUACCAGUUGGAAAUCAUAUAAAUGAGCAUUUGUUCUCUCUCUAGUCCUUUCUCUCUUCUUCCUGUGUGUUCACGGCUGUAACUGAGGUCCUCGUUGAUAUUACUGUGCAGCUCUAACUGGAGCUGGUCUUUUCAAAUCUGAGAGAGUUUAUUUCAAAGCACAUACAAUUAAAUCUGAGUUGCUACAGUAUGCAUCGUGAAAGAAAGUCAUGUGUGGUUUUAUAUAAAGUUUUGGACACAAAGUGUAACACAUGAGAAAUUUAAGGCAGGCUCACAAUCUUCGUAUCACGGUUUCACCCAAUUAAGGAAAAGAAUAAAUGUUUUGACUGAAACUUUUAGUUUGAAUUAAUAUAGUUCUAGAACAUUAAUAUGGGGUAGACUUUUCUGCCUCAGGAAACUUUGUUCACUUUUUCCUCUUAUUUUUAAGAGACUUAAUGAUAUCGUGUGAAAGGUUCAACGUAUCUUUUUCAAAGGAAUUUUAAAGGUGUUUGUCACGUGAUCCAAAGCUAAUGUGAAAUGAGGCAUUGGCUAAUUUUGUCUUAUAUGUUAAGUAUGAACUUGGAUAGGAAAAAUCCGUGCAUUUUUUGAGAACAGGACAAAAACUAGCAAGGAAUUGCAUUUGCUGUGACAGAUGAGUUCUGGGAAUAAAUAGUAGUUGUCAUGGGUCAUAAAACCUAGCUGGUUCUUCUCCUUAAACCUAAGCCUUGGCUAGGAAUCACAAAUGUGUUUAUAUGUUAUAUACUGAAGUAAAUAAACUCUUAAACUUCUCUGGACAUGUGUUCUCUGUAGACUCAGGCUUUCUGAGUUUAAGGGGUAGAAAGAAGACCCUUACUUAGGUAAUACUUAUCAUUUAAUGUAACCCCUUUUAACUUGGUGACGACAAUAAUCCAUAACCAAUCUAUAAAUGAAAAUCUGGGGUGAGUUUAUUCUGAGGCAAAUGUGAGGACCAUAUAGCCCGGGGGCCUUUUUUCCCCAAGGAAAGAAGGGCACCAAAGAAGUAGGGUGUUCAGAGUGGUUAUAUAUCCUCAAAGAGCGUGUAUCACAUAUGAUUGAAAUGUCCCUUUUACAGUAGUCACAAGACUGCUCUGUCAGCACAGCAAUUGAUGGACACAGCAGGAGACACGUCUGUUGUCUGGAGCUGGGCGGUCACAGGGUGGGCACAGCAAUCAGUUCCUAGCCUGGGGAGAGAUGCUCAUCCUUAAGGAAAUGCCAAUGUGGGGGAAGUUGCACUUUUAAAGCCAUUUUUUCUUGUUUUGGGGACAUAGCAAAUGCUUAAAUCAGACAUACAAGGCAUGCUGAAUGGCCACGUCAGGCCCUUUUGGAAAAACAAGGUCAGGCCGAAUUAGGUUUACACCAAAUGACUUCCUCCUAUACUCCAGUAUAACCUAUUGCUUGCCAUUUAUCUGUCAACUUUUUAAAAAUAUUGCAUUAAAUCUCGCUUUCUAAGAAGCAUGUGUCAUACUCUAAAAUUUUCCCUAGACAAGGUACAAAGUACAACUUCUUAACCUUUUUUUAAUUCCGAAGUCCAGUAGUGUA